rnacentral:rRNA from 1 species
GAUGAACGCUAGCGGCAGGCCUAACACAUGCAAGUCGAGGGGUAACUAGAGUGAUAGCAAUAUUACUUUGGCUAGACCGGCGCACGGGUGCGUAACACGUAUGCAACCUACCUUAUACUGGGGAAUAACUUCGAGAAAUCGGCGCUAAUACCCCAUAACAUUGCGAAGAGGCAUCUCUUUGCAAUUAAAGCUCCGGCGGUAUAAGAUGGGCAUGCGUCCAAUUAGCUAGUUGGUGAGGUAACGGCUCACCAAGGCUACGAUUGGUAGGGGUUCUGAGAGGAUGAUCCCCCACACUGGGACUGAGACACGAACCAGACUCCUACGGGAGGCAGCAGUGAGGAAUAUUGCGCAAGGGACGAAAGUCUGACGCAGCCACGCCGCGUGCAGGAUGACGACCCUAUGGGUUGUAAACUGCUUUUGUACGGGAAUAAACCCUUCUACGUGUAGGAGGCUGAAGGUACCGUAAGAAUAAGCACCGGCUAACUCCGUGCCAGCAGCCGCCGUAACAC